UACGUAGGGGGCUAGCGUUGUCCGGAAUCAUUGGGCGUAAAGGGCGCGUAGGCGGCUCCGCGAGUCGGGGGUGAAAUCGUUCCGCUCAACGGGACAAGGGCCUCCGAGACCGCGGGACUCGAGGGGGAUAGGGGUGCGCGGAACUUCCGGUGGAGCGGUGAAAUGCGUAGAUAUCGGAAGAACACCAGUGGCGAAGGCGGCUCACUGGACUGGUAUUGACGCUGAGGUGCGAAAGCGUGGGGAGCAAACAGG
rnacentral:rRNA from 1 species